AUUAAUAAAUCAUCAGCAAAUUGUAAAAAUUUUAUAUCCCUUUGUGUUAAAUACUUAUUAAUUUGACUAGUGUAUAAAUUGUACAAUAAUGGCGAGAUCGUAGCGCCCUGCAUUGUGCCUUUAUAUACAUAUCCGGGUCCAUGAAAAAUGUUAUUAAAUUUUAUAUACAUUAUUCUUUUAUACAAAAAAUUGAAAAUCCAUUUACAGACUACCCCGGGUACUCCAAUAUCACAUAAGAUGGCUAUUAAAAUUGAGGGGACCACGUUAUCGAACGCGCCCUGUACAUCAAGGAAGACACAAGCUGUUGCAGAGUGACCGUCAAGAGAAUUCCUAACAUCUGAGACCAAUGCUGUAAAACUUUCUGCUGCACUUCGGCCUUUCCUAAAUCCGAAUUGUUCAUUUGGAGGAGAUAGAGGAGAAUAUUUCUCAAAAAAAGAGGGAAUCCAUUCAUCAUUCUUCGGCAGUUUGGGAAUUGAAACACGCUUAAACCUCUUCAUAUAGUUCCAUACUGUACUAACAGGAGUAUAUCUAUUAAAAGAUUCACAUAAAGAUUU